rnacentral:rRNA from 1 species
GAACGAACGCUGGCGGCAUGCCUAACACAUGCAAGUCGAACGAGACCUUCGGGUCUAGUGGCGCACGGGUGCGUAACGCGUGGGAACCUACCCUUAGGUUCGGAAUAACUCCCCGAAAGGGGUGCUAAUACCGGAUAAUGUCUUCGGGCCAAAGAUUUAUCGCCUUUGGAUGGGCCCGCGUUGGAUUAGCUAGUUGGUAGGGUAAAAGCCUACCAAGGCGACGAUCCAUAGCUGGUCUGAGAGGAUGAUCAGCCACACUGGGACUGAGACACGGCCCAGACUCCUACGGGAGGCAGCAGUGGGGAAUAUUGGACAAUGGGCGAAAGCCUGAUCCAGCAAUGCCGCGUGAGUGAUGAAGGCCUUAGGGUUGUAAAGCUCUUUUACCCGGGAUGAUAAUGACAGUACCGGGAGAAUAAGCUCCGGCUAACUCCGUG